AUUCCCUUUUCUUCUCCUCUUCUCCUGAUUUCCCCUUUUGUUCCCGAUGUCGACCCCUUCCUCUUCCCCGAGCUCCCCCCCCCCUCCCCCCCCAAAAAAAAAAGGAAUCUGAUGCGGCGCUUCUUCUUCCUUGCUAAUAAAGCCCAUCAGCCAAGGGAAGCCUCGUCCUCUCCUUUGCAUCGUCGCCUUCCAUCUUUCUUCACCUCACGCCGACCCUCUUCCGAUCUCCCUGUGCGCCGCUGCCGACCGCCACGACCCGACACCGGUCGCCAACCACUUGAUCUCCUCUCGUCAUAAGCCGAGCACCCCAGGUCCAUUAUUCGGUUCCCUAGCUCCCGAUCCACCGCUGACCGAGUGUUUGUUUCCCGAUCCGAGGCGCCAUCUCUACACGGGUUUGGUCUUCGGUCAGGAGCAAAGAUUCAAGCCCUAGUUUCUUUCCCCGUGCUCUAGAUUUGAUCUCUCGCUGCCGCUGAUCACGAUCGUUGAUGUCGCAGCCGCUACCCUCUUCGUGUGAGGACAACUCGGAGACACCGACGAUCGCCGAGGUCGUGUGAAAGCCGUCGGCUGUGUAGAAGCUGCUAUUGUCUGAUCCAGCCACUGUAGCUCCGGUGGUGAGCAACAACACGACCGAAUUUGGCUUUGGCUGGCAGUGCUGUUAAGGAGGUUUUUCCAACAGUGGGCUGAUUCAGGAACAAACGGAUUUGGAUAAGUUAUGCUAUGGAUUAGUUAGAAUUGAUGAGGAGUCAGAUGAUCCAAUUAGGGUUUAUAAUUGGAUUUAGAUUUAGGUUAGUUUUUUGGAGGUAAGAUAUGAUUUCUAAUUAGUAUUGUGUUACAGGACUUUGAUUCGAGACGAACAUCUCGACGUGGGAUCUAUCUGAUACGACUUUCUUUGUGAUGUGGGUACUUUUGACUUA